AUCAACGCUGGCGGCGCGCUUAACACAUGCAAGUCGAACGAGAAAGUGGAGCAAUCCAUGAGUACAGUGGCGUACGGGUGAGUAACACGUGGGUGAUCUACCUCUUUGUGGGGAAUAACCCUGGGAAACCGGGGCUAAUACCGCAUAAGCACGAGAGUGGAAAGCAGCAAUGCGCAGAGAGAGGAGCCCGCGGCCGAUUAGCUAGUUGGGAGGGUAAAAGCCUACCAAGGCAAAGAUCGGUAGCCGGCCUGAGAGGGCACACGGCCACACUGGCACUGAAACACGGGCCAGACUCCUACGGGAGGCAGCAGUGGGGAAUCUUGCACAAUGGGGGAAACCCUGAUGCAGCGACGCCGCGUGAGCGAUGAAGCCCUUCGGGGUGUAAAGCUCUUUCGGCAGGGAAGAGAUUGACGGUACCUGCAGAAGCAGCUGCGGCUAACUACGUGCCUAGCAGCCGCGGUAAUACGUAGGCAGCGAGCGUUGUUCGGAGUUACUGGGCGUAAAGGGUGUGUAGGCGGUUGUUUAAGUUUGGUGUGAAAUCUCCCCGGCUCAACCGGGAGGGAAUGGCGCCGGAAUACUGGAGGACUCGAGUACGGAGAGGGAAGGUGGAAUUCCCUGGUGUAGCGGUGAAAUGCGUAGAUAUCAGGGAGGAACACCGGUGGUGUAAGGACGGCUUUCUGGACCGGAUACUGACGCUGAGACAGCGAAAGCGUGGGUAGCAAACAGGAUUAGAUACCCUGGUAGUCCACGCCUAAACGAUGGCAUAUUGGUGUGGGGCUAUUGACAUUCUGUCCGGUGCCGGAGCUAACGCAUUAAGAUGCCCGCCUGGGGACUACAGGCGCAAGGCUUAAAACUCAAAGGAAUUGACGGGGGCCCGCACAAGCGGUGGAGCAUGUGGUUCAAUUCGACGCAACGCGAAGAACCUUACCUGGGCUCGAACAGCUGGCACGAGCUUAGAAACAGGUCUUACCCUCAGGGGGUACCUCUGGUCAGGUGCUGCAUGGCUGUCGUCAGCUCGUGUCGUGAGAUGUUGGGUUAAGUCCCGCAACGAGCGCAACCCUUGCCUCUAGUUGCCAUCAUUCGAGUUGGGAACUCUCAGAGGGACCUGCCCGUGUAAAGCUGGAGGAAGGUGGGGAUGACGUCAAGUCCUCAUGGCCCUUAUGUCCGGGGCUACACACGUGCUACAAUGGACGGUACAAAGGCGCAGCAAACCCGCGACGGGGAGCCAAUCCCAAAAAAGCCGUUCUCAGUUCGGAUUGGCAGUCUGCAACUCGCCUCCAUGAAGGCGGAAUCGCUAGUAAUCGCGGAUCAGCACUGCUGCGGUGAAUACGUUCCCGGGCCUUGUACACACCGCCCGUCACAUCCAUGGAAGCAUGAUUGUACGAGAAGUCUGCAGGCUGACCCGCAAGGGAGCUAGCGGCCGAUGGUAUGAUCCAGGUGAUUGGGGUG
rnacentral:rRNA from 1 species